GGCGUGCUUACACAUGCAAGNNNNAACGAUGAAGCAACUGCUUGCAGUUGUGGAUUAGUGGCGCACGGGUGAGUAAUGGAUAGGUUACCUGCCUCAUAGUCUAGGACAACAAUUGGAAACGAUUGCUAAUACCGGAUAUUCCCUACGGGGGAAAGAUUUAUCGCUAUGAGAUGGGCCUAUCUCCUAUCAGCUAGUUGGUAAGGUAAUGGCUUACCAAGGCUAUGACGGGUAGCUGGUCUUAGAGGACGAUCAGCCACACUGGAACUGAGACACGGUCCAGACUCCUACGGGAGGCAGCAGUGGGGAAUAUUGCACAAUGGGGGAAACCCUGAUGCAGCAACGCCGCGUGGAGGAUGACGCAUUUCGGUGUGUAAACUCCUUUUAUUAAGGAAGAAAUUUGACGGUACUUAAUGAAUAAGCACCGGCUAACUCCGUGCCAGCAGCCGCGGUAAUACGGAGGGUGCAAGCGUUACUCGGAAUUACUGGGGCGUAAAGGACGCGUAAGCGGUUUAAAAAGUCAGAUGUGAAAUCCUAUGGCUUAACCAUAGAACUGCAUCUGAAACUCCUA
rnacentral:rRNA from 1 species